ACUACAGUUAACAUUACUGUAUUGUAUAUGUAUUCUUUUAAGUUUGUUUAUUUUUUCUGAGGGGGGAGGGGCGGAGAGAGGGAGAGAGAGAAUCCCAAGCAGGCUCAGUGCUGCAAACUGCCUUAGAAGAGAAUAGAUUUGUAAAAGUUCUCACCACACACGUGCACACACGCACACACACACAUUCACACACGGUAACUAUGUGUGGGGUUGGAUGUGUUAAGUAACCUAUUACAGAAGUCAUUUUGCAAUACAUCCAUAUAUCAAAUCACUACCUUGUACACCUUACAUUUAUACCGUGUUAUAUGUCAAUUACAUUUCAGUAAAGUUGGAGGGAGAGAGAGUCCACACAUGAGGGAAACCAUACAGUGUUUGUCUUGCUCCUUCUGACUCGCUAAGCGAGGCUUCACAUGGAUCUGCAGAACCAUCCAGAAUGGGGCACCACACAGAGUGACUGCUUCUUGCUUACAAUGUGACCGUCCAUCACAUGGUCUCCACCCCAGACCUCCCUGAUAAACUCAGAUCCUGCUGCCUCCUGGGGCUCCUGGGGAGAAUACCGAAGACAAUGUAUCAGCCAGGGCCACCCAAACUCCAGGCGCAGACUGGAAAGUGUGAAGAAACCGAAAAAUUGGGCCACAGCGCCCCCUGGUGCUCGCAGCGCUCACCUGCUUAAGCGACUU